rnacentral:rRNA from 1 species
UACAGAGGUCUCAAGCGUUGUUCGGAUUCAUUGGGCGUAAAGGGCGCGUAGGCUGCGGGGCAAGUCGGGUGUGAAAUCUCAGAGCUCAACUCUGAAAACUGCACUCGAUACUGCUUUGCUUGAGGACUGGAGAGGAGAUUGGAAUUCACGGUGUAGCAGUGAAAUGCGUAGAUAUCGUGAGGAAGACCAGUGGCGAAGGCGGAUCUCUGGACAGUUCCUGACGCUGAGGCGCGAAGGCCAGGGGAGCAAACGGG